UUUUCAUCAUACUCGCAAGAUCUACGCGAUUUCUACGUUGUGUUCUUCGCUGGUGGCUUGUGGAUCCAAUUGAUUUCGGUCCAGCCCUUUGAACCUUGGGUUAAUACAUCAAUUAUAAUCUUGUCCAUCAUUCUUAGACCCGUCGAAUGCUCGUGCUUCGGAGUCUACGCAGGGUUAGCUGUUUGCCAAGAUUUCACGUGGAUAAGCAAGCAGUUUAUGAUUUGAAAGCUGGUCCACUCCGAUUCUUGAUUCUUGGAGGUUUUUCUGUCAAUAAAACUAGUCUGUUGUUUUAAACUCUUAGACCGCAGUAGAACUAGUAUAGUGUUUGAUUAUUAUACUUUGGUUUGUCGUGGUGGUACGACUUUUAUAUUAUUAUACUUUGGCAUGUUACAUUGGAUUAUUAUAUUUGAGGCAUGAUUCACAGUUUCGGAUUAUUAUCAAGUUAUGAUAUUAGAACUGUUGUAUAAACUGUUAGACUUAGGUUGGAGUCUCGGUUGCCCCCGAGCAGUGGU